GUUGGGUCCCUUGAGGACUUAGUGACGCAGCUAACGCAAUAAGUAGACCGCCUGGGGAGUACGGCCGCAAGGUUAAAACUCAAAUGAAUUGACGGGGGCCCGCACAAGCGGUGGAGCAUGUGGUUUAAUUCGAUGCAACGCGAAGAACCUUACCUGGUCUUGACAUACACAGAAUCUUGUAGAGAUACGAGAGUGCCUUCGGGAAUUGUGAUACAGGUGCUGCAUGGCUGUCGUCAGCUCGUGUCGUGAGAUGUUGGGUUAAGUCCCGCAACGAGCGCGACCCUUGUCCUUAGUUACCAGCGGGUUAAGCCGGGAACUCUGAGGAUACUGCCAGUGACAAACUGGAGGAAGGCGGGGACGACGUCAAGUCAUCAUGGCCCUUACGACCAGGGCUACACACGUGCUACAAUGGUAGGUACAGAGGGCAGCUACACAGCGAUGUGAUGCGAAUCUCAAAAAGCCUAUCGUAGUCCAGAUUGGAGUCUGCAACUCGACUCCAUGAAGUAGGAAUCGCUAGUAAUCGCGGAUCAGAAUGCCGCGGUGAAUACGUUCCCGGGCCUUGUACACACCGCCCGUCACACCAUGGGAGUUGAUUGCACCAGAAGUGGUUAGCCUAACUUAGUGAGGGCGAUCACCACGGUGUGGUCGAUGACUGGGGUGAAGUCGUAACAAGGUAGCCGUAGGGGAACCUGCGGCUG
rnacentral:rRNA from 1 species